rfam:Corchorus olitorius cultivar O-4 contig14637, whole genome shotgun sequence.
AGCCGUGCGGUGAGCACAGAGCGAACUAUUCUUUCGCCUUUUACUAAAGAAUACCGUGUGCUCGCCGCUCUUAGCGGCAUACGCCUAUUUUUGGGGAGUGCUGGUUCCUUUGGAACUAGC